rnacentral:rRNA from 1 species
UGGGGAAUAUUGCACAAUGGGGGAAACCCUGAUGCAGCAACGCCGCGUGAAGGAAGACGGUCUUCGGAUUGUAAACUUUUGUUCUUGGUGAAGAAAAUGACGGUAGCCAAGGAGGAAGCCACGGCUAACUACGUGCCAGCAGCCGCGGUAAUACGUAGGUGGCAAGCGUUGUCCGGAAUUACUGGGUGUAAAGGGCGUGUAGGCGGGAGAGCAAGUCAGAAGUGAAAUCUAUGGGCUUAACCCAUAAACUGCUUUUGAAACUGUUCUUCUUGAGUAUCGGAGAGGCAGGCGGAAUUCCUAGUGUAGCGGUGAAAUGCGUAGAUAUUAGGAGGAACACCAGUGGCGAAGGCGGCCUGCUGGACGACAACUGACGCUGAGGCGCGAAAGCGUGGGGAGCAAACA